AGUGAACGCUGGCGGCGUGCCUAAUACAUGCAAGUCGAACGAUGAAGUCCUAGCUUGCUAGGUUGGAUUAGUGGCGCACGGGUGAGUAAUAUAUAGUUAAUCUGCCCUACACAGAGGAACAACAGUUGGAAACGACUGCUAAUACCUCAUACUCCUAUUUGACAUAAGUUAAAUAGGGAAAGUCUUUUCGGUGUAGGUUGAGACUAUAUCGUAUCAGCUAGUUGGUAAGGUAAUGGCUUACCAAGGCUAUGACGCGUAACUGGUCUGAGAGGAUGAUCAGUCACAUUGGAACUGAGACACGGUCCAAACUCCUACGGGAGGCAGCAGUAAGGAAUAUUGCGCAAUGGGGGAAACCCUGAAGCAGCAACGCCGCGUGGAGGAUGACACUUUGCGGAGCGUAAACUCCUUUUAUCAGGAAAGAAUAAUGACGGUACCUGAUGAAUAAGCACCGGCUAACUCCGUG
rnacentral:rRNA from 1 species